rnacentral:rRNA from 1 species
CAGCCGAACGAAGCAUUUAAGACAGAUUUUUUCGGAAUGAAGUUUUUUAUCACUGAGUGGCGGACGGGUGAGUAACGCGUGGGUAACCUGCCUCACACAGGGGGAUAGCAGUUGGAAACGACUGGUAAUACCGCAUAAGCACACAGCUUCGCAUGAAGCGGUGUGAAAAACUCCGGUGGUGUGAGAUGGACCCGCGUCUGAUUAGGUAGUUGGUGAGGUAACGGCCCACCAAGCCGACGAUCAGUAGCCGACCUGAGAGGGUGACCGGCCACAUUGGGACUGAGACACGGCCCAGACUCCUACGGGAGGCAGCAGUGGGGAAUAUUGCACAAUGGAGGAAACUCUGAUGCAGCGACGCCGCGUGAGUGAAGAAGUAUUUCGGUAUGUAAAGCUCUAUCAGCAGGGAAGACAGUGACGGUACCUGACUAAGAAGCUCCGGCUAAAUACGUGCCAGCAGCCGCGGUAAUACGUAUGGAGCAAGCGUUAUCCGGAUUUACUGGGUGUAAAGGGAGUGUAGGUGGUAUCACAAGUCAGAAGUGAAAGCCCGGGGCUCAACCCCGGGACUGCUUUUGAAACUGUGGAACUGGAGUGCAGGAGAGGUAAGUGGAAUUCCUAGUGUAGCGGUGAAAUGUGUAGAUAUUAGGAGGAACACCAGUGGCGAAGGCGGCUUACUGGACUGUAACUGACACUGAGGCUCGAAAGCGU